rnacentral:tRNA from 1 species
GCUUAGCUGGCCCAGUUGGUAGAGCUUGAGACUCAUGAUCAUGGGAUUGUGAGUUCAAGCCCCACACUGGGCG